AUCGAGAGCCUUCUGACUCACU
rnacentral:miRNA from 1 species